rnacentral:lncRNA from 1 species
CUCUAGAUGCCCCAAGCCAGGGUUUCUGGGGGUGGCGUCUGGGAAUCCACUUGUAAUAAGCCACUGAGACCAAGGCGGGACCAGGAAUGUAUCAGUAAGGUCUUGACCUUGGCCAUGGUUUGGCAUCACAGCAAACUUGAAGUUCUCCUCUGUGGAAACAGCCUGAGCUGGGCCAUUUGCAAUUGUGUGGACUCUAGCACGUGUCCAACUGGAGCAGCAUGUGGUGGACACCGGUGUUUGCCAGCCCCACAUCCAUGUCAGGGAAGAGCACUUUGACUUUGCUUUGGGUCUCUCCUGCUCUGCUUGGUGUCUGUGUUGCUGGUUCCCCAUCCUCUGCCAGCCUCCUACCUCUGGAGGGGGCCUGAUAACCACACCUGUACACAUCAGACUCUGUUCCCAGACUUCUGUUGGAACCAUUCACAAGCUCACUUUCCAAGGGGAUUCAUAGAAAUACCAAAUGCAGUGAGAUGCACUAUAAGCCAGCAGAGAGACUAAAAUGUUCUUCCUCAGAGGUAGCAAGUCUCCUUAGAGCAGAUGUGUUUUGGCAGAAAAUAAUCAAUGAUUCUUUGGUUUGCCAAAUGCAAGGCAAAUACUAACCCAGAGUUCUGGAAAGGACUUGAAUAGAAGAGUUAUUCAACCUA